rnacentral:rRNA from 1 species
AAAUUGAAGAGUUUGAUCAUGGCUCAGAUUGAACGCUGGCGGCAGGCCUAACACAUGCAAGUCGAACGGUAACAGGAAGCAGCUUGCUGCUUUGCUGACGAGUGGCGGACGGGUGAGUAAUGUCUGGGAAACUGCCUGAUGGAGGGGGAUAACUACUGGAAACGGUAGCUAAUACCGCAUAACGUCGCAAGACCAAAGAGGGGGACCUUCGGGCCUCUUGCCAUCGGAUGUGCCCAGAUGGGAUUAGCUAGUAGGUGGGGUAAAGGCUCACCUAGGCGACGAUCC